CUCUAUUUCCAAUAUCUGAAUACACAAGGAAACUAUAAUCUCCUCCUUCACCUUAUCGGUCUCUUCCUAACAAUAAUUCAAUCAUACCAAUAACUGCUAUUUCUACCAAUAUAUUCACCCUCAUAAUCUCCAACUGUAAUACUACGCCCUCACAGCUUUCAGCACAUAAUUACCCUCAUUCCAAUCACUAGAAUUCUUCACACAAAACCACCAUUUAUAUUAUGGUAUUUCACACAAACACAGACUCAUUCUCUCUGCUAAACUACAAUCAGAUUUCAGCAUUCAAUCUUUCUUCUUUUCAAAUAAUACCAAUCACAUUUCCAUUCUAUAAUUCACUUCACAAUAUUCAAAAACUCUCAAUCCUCUUAUUCAAAGAAAAUAACAAACAAAA
rnacentral:lncRNA from 1 species